rnacentral:rRNA from 1 species
GGAAGCGAAGACAACUGAUCCAUAGCGUACGGAUAGAUCAGCCAUGACAAUGUCUGUGGUUUACAGACAGCGGAAGGGAUGAACUAUACGCUAGCUAUGAGGCGUCUGAGCUAGACUAACGUAUGACAAGACAUCAUAUCAAAUGUUUUAAUGAAAGACCAAACGUCUUUUUUACUGUAGAGUUAGUUAAGUAAGAAAGGGCGCACGGUGGAUGCCUUGGCACUAGGAGCCGACGAA